rnacentral:snoRNA from 1 species
CCAACGUGGCAUCCGAUGGGUUGGCCCCUAUUGGCUCUGCCUCAAAUGGCACAGGAGCUGAGUGUCUUGAACACAUUUUCUUGAUGUCUAUUCCACUGUCAUGACGUUGGAGAUCAAAUCCACCCCUAGAGAUUUCUCUAGUUUGGUGUGGUGCAUUGCAUAUUCCUUGUGCUUCCUAGAGUCACUCUGUGACAAUGACUGGGGAGAUAAACCAUGCNAUGAACAGUA